GUGCUCACUUUGGCAGUACAUAGACUAAAAUUAGAAUGAUACAGAGAAGAUAAGCACGGCCCCUGCUCAAGGAUGGCAUGUAAAUUUGUGAGGCAUUCCAUAUUUAG